AAAGUCCUACGGGAGGCAGCAGUGAGGAAUAUUGGUCAAUGGUCGGGAGACUGAACCAGCCACGCCGCGUGAGGGAGGAAGGUACAGAGUAUCGUAAACCUCUUUUGUCAGGGAACAAAGACUGGGACGCGUCCCCGGAUGAGUGUACCUGAAGAAAAAGCAUCGGCUAACUCCGUGCCAGCAGCCGCGGGAAUACGGAGGAUGCGAGCGUUAUCCGGAUUUAUUGGGGUUAAAGGGUGCGCAGGCGGACUGUUAAG
rnacentral:rRNA from 1 species